rnacentral:rRNA from 1 species
UACAGAGGGUGCAAGCGUUAAUCGGAAUUACUGGGCGUAAAGCGUGCGUAGACGGUUACAUAAGUCGGGUGUGAAAGCCCCGGGCUCAACCUGGGAAUUGCAUUCGAGACUGCGUAGCUAGGGUGCGGAAGAGGGAAGCGGAAUUUCCGGUGUAGCGGUGAAAUGCGUAGAUAUCGGAAGGAACACCGGUGGCGAAGGCGGUUCUCUGGGCCUGUACUGACGCUGAGGAGCGAAAGCGUGGGGAGCGAACCGG